rnacentral:rRNA from 1 species
UAAUACAUCGGAACGUGUCUUCUAGUGGGGGAUAACUGCCCGAAAGGGCAGCUAAUACCGCAUGAGACCUGAGGGUGAAAGCGGGGGAUCGCAAGACCUCGCGCUGGAAGAGCGGCUGAUGUCCGAUUAGCUAGUUGGUGAGGUAAAGGCUCACCAAGGCGACGAUCGGUAGCUGGUCUGAGAGGACGACCAGCCACAUUGGGACUGAGACACGGCCCAG